GGCAGUUGACACCUCAAAAUAAAACUUGAGAUUGCUCAUGCAACCGUGAAAAGGAAACAAUUUAUUACCAUAAAAGAGCCAUUUAAUGUGAGACCCCAAUAGCCUCUGGCUGUCUGUCAUCCUGAUCUGACGUGAAAUGGAUUUGAUAUUAUCUGCAAACAACCACACAUUCCUUCAGAAGAAAGUCACCUCCACAGAGGAUACAUGACUUGUUUGUUUGUGGUUGGCUAUGGCUUUGACUUUCCCCGCCACGCUGUUUGCCUUGGUUAAUGACCAGCCGGAAGUGCCCUGCCUCCUGUUUGGCUGAUGAAAACGCUGACCUUUUCAGGAAUGAUUCCAAACCAGGCAUCUGUGGAUGACUUACCUCAUCCCUUUCAUUGCUCCCCACCACACUGCAUUCCCCAUAAAGGAAGUAGCUAUUUUAGGCAAGGGAAAAUGAGAUGGUGGGACUUUCCCCAAAAGCAGGCUUGUGCCUGAUGCAGGGUGGAGGAGCCCCACGCCCUGUGGAAGGACAAACACAGCGUCAUCCACAGACGUUGCCCAUGGGUCCAGUCCAUCCAUCGGUGACUUAUGGGCAAAAGGGAAGGAAGGAAAGGAAAGAAGAUUGGAGGAGUAGAAGUGGACCCAGACCUUGAGGAGCCUAAAAUUUUUCUGCAGAGGCAGGCGGGACCUGAUAUGGCAAGUGAACAUCAAGGCCUGCCUUGCCUCACAGGGCAGCUGGGGACCAACCCAUACGAAUCCAACAUGCGGAGGAAGCCAGAGCCGGAGCAGGAGGCAGAGACCUGAGGAUGGGCUGGAGCCUGUGUGCGGGGCUUUCUGUCACUUGCAGAGUCCUGGCUGGUACACUGAGGAGCACUAGCUUGUAUGGCAUUCUUUCCAUGAUUGGAGUUCAACGAUGGGAGACCAGGGAGAUGGAGUAGUUUGAGCUCCUGGGGAAUGAUAACAUCUGGAUCCUGAGAGGGGAGGAAAAGCAAACGCCAGCAAUGACAUAGGAUCAGAAAGGUGCUCAGCAUGGGGCUGUCUGUGGGAGGGGCCCAGGUGCUGGCACCUACGUGACUGAGGGCUUGUGGGAGGGGGAGGGAAACUGCUUUGCAACAGCAGGGGACCCAGGUGGGGUAUGUGUGGGGUAUGUCCCAGUCACCUCAGGGAAGGGGGGCAUUGAAGGGUGUGCUCAGGAUCCACCUCUUCCCCGAGUUCUCCCUUGAUGCAAGCAGCCUAGGAUCAGACUUCCUUGAAUUCUAGCUCAUCUGCCAGGGAGGCACUACUUCAGCCAGAAGACCGCCUGGAGGACUUCAUGGGGCUUCAGAACCCAGGGCACUCCUGCCACAUGUUAUCAAUGACUUUGCAGUAUUGUGAUAGUGUGUGAUACCACCCGUCAUAUGCAGUAACAAGGAGGGAGACUGACCGAACUUUGAAGGCAUCCUUCCUGUUAGAAUUUCAACUACCUCCAUAUCUAGUACAGGAGAGGGAAGUAAAUGCAGUGGAAAUCUGAUUUUUUUUUUCACUCUGUUCCCCAGGCUGGAGGGCAGUGGCACAAUCUCGGCUCACUGCAACCUCCGUCUCCUAGGUUCAAACGAUUCUCCUACCUCAGCCUCCCGGGUAGCUGGGAUUACAGGCAUGUGCCACCAUGCCCGGCUAAUUUUGUAUUUUUAGUAGAGAUGAGGUUUCUCCAUGUUGGUCAGGCUGGUCUCGAACUCCUGACCUCAGGUGAUCCAUCCGCCUUGGCCUCCCAAAGUGCUGGGAUUACAGGCAUGAGCCACCACACCUAGUCCCUGAUUUUGUUUUAUCGGCAAAUUCACUGUUGAGGGUUGGAGCAGCCUGUGAUAUCCGUGUGAGUCCAUUUGUGAAACUGAAACUUUGUAACAAGAACUAAGAUAGUUAUUGAGAAGUGCUUUGAAAAUGAUCCAAGGAAGCUUUCCAAAGUGACUCUGUCCCUGGGAAGGGAGGAAGGGACCACAAUAUGCCUGUAUCAGAUUUCUACUGCUGUGUAACAAAUGACCCCAAAACUUAGUGGCUUGAAACAACAAUGAACAUUUAUUAUUUCAUAGUUUCUGUGGGUCAGGAAUUCAGGAGUGGCUUAGCUGGGUGGUUCUGGCUCAGGGAUUUCAUGGGGUUGCAGUCAGGGUAUCAGCUGGGGUUGUGUCAUUAGAGGCUGAACUGGGGCUGGAGGAUUUACCUCUGAGGUGGUGCACCCACAUGCCUGGCAGGUUGGUGCUGGCUGUUGGUGGGAGGCCUCAGUUUCCCACCACAUGGACUCCUCUACAGAGCUGCUUAAGUGUCCUUACAACAUGGCAGUUGGCUGCUCCCGAGGAAGUGAUUCAAGGAGAGCAAGGCAGGAACCAUGUCUUUUAUGGCCUAGCCUUGGACAUCAUUUCUGCAGUCCUACUGGUUGCCAGAUGGGUCCUAUUCAGUGAAGAGGGGACUCUCCAGGAUGUGACUACUGGGGCUCACUGGGCAGCAUCUCAGAGCUGCCACCAUGCUGCUGCGUGGUUGGCCCAUCUGGAACACUUAGUCUUCAGUCACUUGGUUUGAUUCAAGAACAAAGAGUUAGAAACUCUUCACCUUUUGAAUGCAAGGAAGUAGGCUGACCCCUCAAAGUGUGCCAGACAAGCCAUUUUAAGCAUAGUUGGGUGAGAUGCAAAGAGGAAGCCUGCAUAUUCGCUGCUUACGUGAAAUGUUUGGCGCCUACUCAUGCUUUCUAUCCACAGAGUCUCACUGAUAGUUUGUCAGCCUUGCAUCCCAUCUGCCCCAUGUGGGUCCUGUGAAGCUGCUGGUCAACCUAUCCCCUGGCUUUGGGGGAAUGCAACCCAUGUCUGGCCAACUGUGGUGCCCCAUUUCCCAGUCUAGAGUUGUUGGUCCAAGAGGAGGCUCUCUCUUACUCUGAAAUCAUGAGCUGAGGGUUUACUGUGUAUGCCUGAAGCUAUCAGACAAUGAAGAAAGAAGAGAGAGAAAGAGAGAGAUUUGAGCACCUGGGUCCAGCUAUGACUGAAGCUAGCAAGACACCCAUCUUUGUUCUCUGAAAUUAUGUAAGAAAGUAAACUCCCUUUUUGGAAUUUUGCUUGUUUACUUUUGCUUAAGUUAACUUGAGCUGGAAUUUCAUCAUCACAAUUAAAAACAUCCUAACAACUUAUCCCUUGAAAAUCAUGUGCUUUGCGCCCAGCCAGCCGCCCCGUCAGGGAGGGAGGUGGGGGGGUCAGCCCCCCGCCAGGCCAGCCG
rnacentral:lncRNA from 1 species